UACGUAGGGCGCGAGCGUUGUCCGGAAUCAUUGGGCGUAAAGAGCUCGUAGGCGGCCUGUCGCGUCUGCUGUGAAAUCCCGGGGCUCAACCCCGGGCGUGCAGUGGAUACGGGCUGGCUGGAGGCAGGCAGGGGAGAACGGAAUUCCCGGUGUAGCGGUGAAAUGCGCAGAUAUCGGGAGGAACACCGGUGGCGAAGGCGGUUCUCUGGGCCUGUACUGACGCUCAUGCACGAAAGCGUGGGGAGCAAACAGG
rnacentral:rRNA from 1 species